rnacentral:rRNA from 1 species
GCUGACGAGUGGCGGACGGGUGAGUAAUGUCUGGGAAACUGCCUGAUGGAGGGGGAUAACUACUGGAAACGGUAGCUAAUACCGCAUAAUGUCGCAAGACCAAAGAGGGGGACCUUCGGGCCUCUUGCCAUCGGAUGUGCCCAGAUGGGAUUAGCUUGUUGGUGGGGUAACGGCUCACCAAGGCGACGAUCCCUAGCUGGUCUGAGAGGAUGACCAGCCACACUGGAACUGAGACACGGUCCAGACUCCUACGGGAGGCAGCAGUGGGGAAUAUUGCACAAUGGGCGCAAGCCUGAUGCAGCCAUGCCGCGUGUAUGAAGAAGGCCUUCGGGUUGUAAAGUACUUUCAGCGGGGAGGAAGGGAGUAAAGUUAAUACCUUUACUCAUUGACGUUACCCGCAGAAGAAGCACCGGCUAACUCCGUGCCAGCAGCCGCGGUAAUACGGAGGGUGCAAGCGUUAAUCGGAAUUACUGGGCGUAAAGCGCACGCAGGCGGUUUGUUAAGUCAGAUGUGAAAUCCCCGGGCUCAACCUGGGAACUGCAUCUGAUACUGGCAAGCUUGAGUCUCGUAGAGGGGGGUAGAAUUCCAGGUGUAGCGGUGAAAUGCGUAGAGAUCUGGAGGAAUACCGGUGGCGAAGGCGGCCCCCUGGACGAAGACUGACGCUCAGGUGCGAAAGCGUGGGGAGCAAACAGGAUUAGAUACCCUGGUAGUCCACGCCGUAAACGAUGUCGACUUGGAGGUUGUGCCCUUGAGGCGUGGCUUCCGGAGCUAACGCGUUAAGUCGACCGCCUGGGGAGUACGGCCGCAAGGUUAAAACUCAAAUGAAUUGACGGGGGCCCGCACAAGCGGUGGAGCAUGUGGUUUAAUUCGAUGCAACGCGAAGAACCUUACCUGGUCUUGACAUCCACGGAAGUUUUCAGAGAUGAGAAUGUGCCUUCGGGAACCGUGAGACAGGUGCUGCAUGGCUGUCGUCAGCUCGUGUUGUGAAAUGUUGGGUUAAGUCCCGCAACGAGCGCAACCCUUAUCCUUUGUUGCCAGCGGUCCGGCCGGGAACUCAAAGGAGACUGCCAGUGAUAAACUGGAGGAAGGUGGGGAUGACGUCAAGUCAUCAUGGCCCUUACGACCAGGGCUACACACGUGCUACAAUGGCGCAUACAAAGAGAAGCGACCUCGCGAGAGCAAGCGGACCUCAUAAAGUGCGUCGUAGUCCGGAUUGGAGUCUGCAACUCGACUCCAUGAAGUCGGAAUCGCUAGUAAUCGUGGAUCAGAAUGCCACGGUGAAUACGUUCCCGGGCCUUGUACACACCGCCCGUCACACCAUGGGAGUGGGUUGCAAAAGAAGUAGGUAGCUUAACCUUCGGGAGGGCGCUUACCACUUUGUGAUUCAUGACUGGGGUGAAGUCGUAACAAGGUAACCGUAGGGGAACCUGCGGUUGGAUCACCUCCUUACCUUAAAGAAGC